GACGAACGCUGGCGGCGUGCCUAAUACAUGCAAGUAGAACGCUGAAGGAGGAGCUUGCUUCUCUGGAUGAGUUGCGAACGGGUGAGUAACGCGUAGGUAACCUGCCUGGUAGCGGGGGAUAACUAUUGGAAACGAUAGCUAAUACCGCAUAAGAGUAGAUGUUGCAUGACAUUUGCUUAAAAGGUGCAAUUGCAUCACUACCAGAUGGACCUGCGUUGUAUUAGCUAGUUGGUGAGGUAACGGCUCACCAAGGCGACGAUACAUAGCCGACCUGAGAGGGUGAUCGGCCACACUGGGACUGAGACACGGCCCAGACUCCUACGGGAGGCAGCAGUAGGGAAUCUUCGGCAAUGGACGGAAGUCUGACCGAGCAACGCCGCGUGAGUGAAGAAGGUUUUCGGAUCGUAAAGCUCUGUUGUAAGAGAAGAACGUGUGUGAGAGUGGAAAGUUCACACUGU
rnacentral:rRNA from 1 species